rnacentral:tRNA from 1 species
AGUUCAGUGGUAGAACGCCACGCUGUUAACGUGGAUGUCGUAGGUUCGUCAGGGUAUCCACCCUGACGCCCGGGUGCACACCCGGGCGAAUCCUUUA